rnacentral:misc_RNA from 1 species
AAAAAUGAAAUCUCUAAAUGCUCUCAACUACAAAUCAGAUGUCUACUCGAGCUUCUCCAAUUCGCCCAUUCUUUCUAUUAUUGCCUGAAAAGUACAAGAAAGCACAAUUCAGCGCAAGAAUAAUGUUCUCGCCAGCAUAAAAUAAACGGAAGAAAAAUGCUAUGCAAGAGACAAAGCCAAAACUGAAUUCAAAAAAUGUUCAAUUUGUUAACAAUCACAACUUUUUUUUUUUGGCAUCAAAAUGUCCUACAGAAAAGGAAACAAAAAUAAGAAAAAUGGAGCAUCACUGCUGAUAUGGGAAAAGGAACAUCAAAAGCUUAGAAUCUCCACAAGCCACAUAUGUCAGAAAUGUGUAAGAAUCUACAGAAAAAGCUCACCUUCUUGCUUGUUU